AUUGAACGCUGGCGGCAUGCCUUACACAUGCAAGUCGAACGGUAACAGGAAGCAGCUUGCUGCUUCGCUGACGAGUGGCGGACGGGUGAGUAAUGUCUGGGAAACUGCCUGAUGGAGGGGGAUAACUACUGGAAACGGUAGCUAAUACCGCAUAACGUCGCAAGACCAAAGAGGGGGACCUUCGGGCCUCUUGCCAUCGGAUGUGCCCAGAUGGGAUUAGCUAGUAGGUGGGGUAACGGCUCACCUAGGCGACGAUCCCUAGCUGGUCUGAGAGGAUGACCAGCCACACUGGAACUGAGACACGGUCCAGACUCCUACGGGAGGCAGCAGUGGGGAAUAUUGCACAAUGGGCGCAAGCCUGAUGCAGCCAUGCCGCGUGUAUGAAGAAGGCCUUCGGGUUGUAAAGUACUUUCAGCGGGGAGGAAGGCGAUAAGGUUAAUAGCUUCACCGAUUGACGUUACCCGCAGAAGAAGCACCGGCUAACUCCGUGCCAGCCGCCGCCGUAA
rnacentral:rRNA from 1 species